ACACAUUAUUCACUCUCAGUAAUACUCGUACAUCCACAGAUAAUUCCAGAAAAAAGGCAAAAAGAUGAAAUGUUCUUAAUGGUAACAAAGUAAAUACACAGCAGGUCAACAGGGGUUAGGUUAGGGAUAAUAGAUACCUCUCCCAAGAACUGUUCCUCUGCAGUCUGGCCUUCAUCCCCUUUGUUCAGUAAAGGCACAUCCGAUUCUGUGGGAGCCUUCAGUAAAGAAAAGAUGUCACACACACACAAAAAAA